rnacentral:rRNA from 1 species
AGUGAACGCUGGCGGCAGGCCUAACACAUGCAAGUCGAACGGCAGCACAAGAGAGCUUGCUCUCUUGGUGGCGAGUGGCGGACGGGUGAGGAAUGCAUCGGAAUCUGCCCAUUUGUGGGGGAUAACCUCGGGAAACCGGGACUAAUACCGCAUACGACCUACGGGUUAAAGCAGGGGAUCUUCGGACCUUGCGCAGAUGCAUGAGCCGAGGCCGGAUUAGCUGGUUGGAGGGGUAAAGGCCCACCAAGGCGACGAUCCGUAGCUGGUCUGAGAGGAGGAUGAGCCACACUGGGACUGGGAAACGGCCAAGACUCCUACGGGAGGCAGAAGUGGGGAAUUUUGGCAAAUGGGGGAAAGCCUGAUGCAGAAAUGCGGCGGGUGUGAAGAAGGCCUUCGGGUUGUAAAGCAUUUUUGUUGGGAAAGAAAAGCAGGCGGUUAAUAAGCUGUUGUCAUGACGGUAACCAACGAGUAAGCACCGGCUAACUUCGUG